GCAAGGACGUCGUUCUUUGAAGCAAGUCACUUGUAUGACGUUGAAGAAGAGGGCACCCAGGGUGUUCGCCACUUCCGUAUUAAGAUUCUGCAGACAUCGACGGAACUUCGCGUCGCAGUCGCAAUGGGAUCGCGUGAACGGCGUCCUCUGCUGCGUGUUGACCCAGCUCGUCGUACGAUUUGGCCAAGGUACCUGGUCCACACCAUUUGGUUCCUGGAUAUAUCAGACCACCUCCUGGUGGUUGAUUCUAACAAGAAAAUUUAUCUCUUUUUUUUAUUUUUAAACUCGGUAGGCAAAAUUAUUGAAAUGAAUUCGUACUUUUCCUUUAUCGUAAGAGGCCUUGCAGGUCUUCUCGAGGUCAGUGACGAGUUUGCUGGACACUUGCAUCACCUUCCUGGGAUCAGCACCUAGGACCAUCUUCUGUAUGACCCCACGAUCGGUGUACAAGGCACAGAAUGGAGGCACUGCGUUCAGUUCCACCAUUCUGGACAUGGUGUUGUCCGCCACGAGAACGCUGGCCUCGGUUUCAUCCCCCCACAAGAUUGGUAUUAAUAGCAGAACCACGGCGAGCAUCUGUAAGGGAAGAUUCGAGUUCGAUGAGCUUACACUUUAAGGUCGCCUUAGUUUCUUCAAACGGAGCCGUACGUUUUCAUUAAACUGCGCUUGUUACUCGUUCCAGGAAGAAUUCAACUAGCUAAAUAGCACGAGUUUCUAAAAGAAACCUUUGCGGGACAUAACCAUGAACGAUGGCGAUAAAUUAGCCACAGCUUUCAGCUUGGUUUCAUCGUGUCUUUCAUAGAGCAGUAUGACGUGGACUUGCGAAGUAUAAAAAGGAAGGCGACAAUGACGAACAAAGCAGCAUAUGAAAACCGUUGACCUAUGAUAAAAAAAAAAAA